GUGCCAGCAGCCGCGGUAAUACGUAGGGGGCGAGCGUUAUCCGGAUUUACUGGGCAUAAAGGGCGUGUAGGCGGUGAUUUAAGUCAGGUGUUAAAUGUAUCAGCUCAACUGAUGUUUGCACUUGAAACUGAAUUGCUAGAGAUUAGGAGAGGAAAGCGGAACUCACAGUGUAGCGGUGAAAUGCGUAGAUAUUGUGAGGAACACCAGUUGCGAAGGCGGCUUUCUGGACUAAAUCUGACGCUAAGGCGCGAAAGCGUGGGGAGCAAACAGGAUUAGAAACCCUAGUAGUCC
rnacentral:rRNA from 1 species